GACGAACGCUGGCGGCGUGCUUAACACAUGCAAGUCGAACGGAAAGGCCCUGCUUUUGUGGGGUGCUCGAGUGGCGAACGGGUGAGUAACACGUGAGUAACCUGCCCUUGACUUUGGGAUAACUUCAGGAAACUGGGGCUAAUACCGGAUAGGAGCUCCUGCUGCAUGGUGGGGGUUGGAAAGUUUCGGCGGUUGGGGAUGGACUCGCGGCUUAUCGGCUUGUUGGUGGGGUAGUGGCUUACCAAGGCUUUGACGGGUAGCCGGCCUGAGAGGGUGACCGGCCACCUGGGGACUGCGAUACGGCCCAGACUCCAACGGGAGGCAGCAGUGGGGAAUCUUGCACAAUGGGCGGAAGCCUGUUGCGGCAACGCCGCGUGCGGGAUGACGGCCUUCGGGUUGUGAACCACUUUCGCCUGUGACGUAGCGGGAGUGACGGUAAUUGGUAAAGAAGCACCGGCUAACUACGUG
rnacentral:rRNA from 1 species